GGGGAUUCAACGCACUCCAACCCCUGUGACAUACCUUACUGUUGCCUCGGCGGAUCAGCCCGCUCCCGGUAAAACGGGACGGCCCGCCAGAGGACCCCUAAACUCUGUUUCUAUAUGUAACUUCUGAGUAAAACCAUAAAUAAAUCAAAACUUUCAACAACGGAUCUCUUGGUUCUGGCAUCGAUGAAGAACGCAGCAAAAUGCGAUAAGUAAUGUGAAUUGCAGAAUUCAGUGAAUCAUCGAAUCUUUGAACGCACAUUGCGCCCGCCAGUAUUCUGGCGGGCAUGCCUGUUCGAGCGUCAUUUCAACCCUCAAGCCCUCGGGUUUGGUGUUGGGGAUCGGCGAGCCUUUCUGGCAAGCCGGCCCCGAAAUCUAGUGGCGGUCUCGCUGCAGCCUCCAUUGCGUAGUAGUAAAACCCUCGCAACUGGAACGCGGCGCGGCCAAGCCGUUAAACCCCCAACUUCUGAAUGUUGACCUCGGAUCAGGUAGGAAUACCCGCUGAACUUAAGCAUAUCAAUAAGCCGGGAGGAA
rnacentral:rRNA from 1 species